GAUGAACGCUGGCGGCGUGCUUAACACAUGCAAGUCGAACGAUGAAGCUCAGCUUGCUGGGUGGAUUAGUGGCGAACGGGUGAGUAACACGUGAGUAACCUGCCCUUAACUCUGGGAUAAGCCUGGGAAACUAGGUCUAAUACCGGAUAGGAGCGCCUACCGCAUGGUGGGUGUUGGAAAGAUUUAUCGGUUUUGGAUGGACUCGCGGCCUAUCAGCUUGUUGGUGUGGGAAUGGCUCACCAAGGCGACGACGGGUAGCCGGCCUGAGAGGGUGACCGGCCACACUGGGACUGAGACACGGCCCAGACUCCUACGGGAGGCAGCAGUGGGGAAUAUUGCACAAUGGGCGAAAGCCUGAUGCAGCGACGCCGCGUGAGGGAUGACGGCCUUCGGGUUGUAAACCUCUUUCAGUAGGGAAGAAGCGAAAGUGACGGUACCUGCAGAAGAAGCACCGGCUAACUACGUG
rnacentral:rRNA from 1 species